CCGUAGCUCAGCUGGAUAGAGCACCAGACUACGAAUCUGGGGGUCAGAGGUUCGAAUCCUUUCGGG
rnacentral:tRNA from 12 species